AUGGCGGCGGCCGGCUCGAGCGAGCCUGGCGCGGCAGGCGGAAGCAGCGGGGAGCGGCGGAUGCGGGUAUUUUCGUCCUCGCCAGUUACAGUACAAUUCCUAGGUUUGGUCAAUGUCUCUGGAGCUAUGAAUGAUGUUGUGCACAUCCAAAUCCAAGCAAUGCUGUUCCAUCUUACUGAUCUCGUGCAGAAUCUCCGUUUAGCUCAUUGCUACAUCUCCAUUCUGCUCGUCGGGCCUCGUCAAGGUUAUGUGCAGUGUGUCUGUGCCAUUAAAGAAUUUAAUAUUUCUUUGAACUUCUGGCCUAGAGAUUUAUUUCAUUUGGUCAAACUGGUUCCGAACUUCUGA
rnacentral:rRNA from 1 species